ensembl:lncRNA
AUGGCUGUGGGCAGGGCACCAUCUCCUGGGGAGCUGGGGAAAGGCAUGAAUACCAGCCCAUGCUGUUCGGUGUUGGACAUGUUCAUGGGCUUGGAGAGAGGACCACAUGGAAUCCAUGAAAAUAACGAGUACCUGUAUUCUAGGUUCAAAUAUUCGCCAUAUGGAGGCUCACAUCCCUGAAAUUUAUCUUUCCAGCAGCCAUCACAAAAUGGUUGCUGCAGAAGGUGUGCACGCUUCACAGCUUUAACAGAACGGCUGCCCCGUGCUUCAGAAUAGCUCUUCCAUGUCAGUUUGCAACUUGGCAGCUAGGAGACAGAUCAUACAGAGAGCAAAGAGGAACUGGGCUUCAGGUGAGCGCAUACAUGAACAGAGCGGGAGAAGGAAGGCCUUGCAGUUGUUUUUGGAUGUUUCGCACCCAUAAACCUCACACCACACAAGCUGCACGUACACAGGGUGCUGACUGGAGGUUAGUGAAGCUGUGGAGAAGGCAGAGUACUGCAAGAAAAUGGAGUGAGAAAAGCAAAGUGACUUGGGUGCAGUGUAACAUAAGCUUGAGCUAGGUGUGCUAACCUGGACAAUUGAGUGUGCUCGGAGCAACCAGUGAGCAAAGAGACCUUGACAAUACCAUUUUGGAUUUUGAAGACCAGGUUGGGGUAUGACAGUGCACGUGGUGAUUCUGCUGGUAUAAAAGGAAAUGUAGUUGGUAUUGAAAGGUUUAAAUGCCAACACGAUUUAGAAAAGAAAAUUAGGAUUAAGCAAAGAAAGAACAUGAGUUUCUGUUAAUUUUCUUCUUAGGAUAAUAACAUUUCAGGAUAUUAGAAUGAGAUGUGAGGGUUUGUAGCCUGCUUCUUGGCUUUUACGAGUAGCUGUAGAGGAAAUACCAAAUCACAGCUUGAACCAGUGAUUGAGCACCUGGUGGGAAGGCAGGACCAACCCAGGGAGCUCAGGUGCAUGUAAUGCAAUGCAACGCAAUGCAGCUGAGUGACCAGAAGGGGUGCAGCCAGGAUCCACCCCUUCUCAGACCUUAUUUAAGGGUUAACAGUGGAGGCAAGGGGAAUUUGCUGGAGUUUCUUGCCUACCUGAGGCCUUUUGGAGGUAAGCAGAUUUAUUUAUUUGUUUGUUUGUUUAUUAUGGCUGUUGCAUUUGAGCAAAUCCUCAUUUGCUGCAGCCUGGGACCUCGCUGCUCUGCUGUCAUUACUGUGCUUUUAUCAUGUUACAGUUGUCAUUAAAGCUGUAUCUGUGGUUUGGGAAAGGAUAUGUGAAAAU